UGUGUUUUUCUGGUCACACAUUGAUUUUCUGACCUGAGUCAGCAUGACUGCUGGUGGUACAGGCUGUCCUCUCUGUUCCCGGGGGCCCUAGGUCCCCAGCCAGACUGAAGCAUUUCCAAAACAUUCUCCUGGAACGGUGGGGGCCAAGAGGCGUGGAGACGCCCCACCCCCGGCCCCACCAGUACCAGCUGAAGGACCUACCCAGUCCACCCUCCGUUGUAGACUAACACCCAGCGAGACGACUUCUCGGCACUUCUAAGUAUUCACUCACUGUGGGGCGGGGGCCCUGGGGGGCGUGGGCAGGGCAGAGUGCAGACCCAGAGAAGCAAAAUCUCUUGUAAGAGUCACACAGAGAUGAAGCUGCAGGUGUGAGCUCGUGGGAGCCUUGAGUGUCAGAUCUGGCAACGCUCUGGAGAUUCCCGAAGUCCCUCAGUCCUCACAACAACCCGCUGGGUAGGUUUGUUCAACAUUCUGGCUGCAGUGAGAUGGAGGAUUCUUCCAGACAAUCCUGGGAUGUAAACUUAGAACUCGGUCAUGCGGCAGGCACACAAUCCCCGGCUCAGGCUCUGCUUCCAAGGAACUGACUAAAGACACCGCUGGGCCCUAGGAGAUGCUUUUCUGACUACACUCUUUUGCUAGUUCUGAGCCAGGUACUCAUUAACAAGACUUCUGGACCCCAAAUCAGACUGUCUUAGCUUCACAUCUCAUCACAUCAAAUCUCACUGCUGUGAGCCCCUGGCUAACAACUGGUUAUGACACUUCUCAUCUGUCAAAUGGAAGAAAAACAACCCCCACCCUCUGCCACCACUGCUAGGACUUUGGCAGAAUCAGAGAUAUGCAAGGACCUAGCAUGGUGCCUGGCUCCAUCUGUGGUGCUAGUGUCCUUCCUCCAGGCUAACAGCACCCACUCUACACACAGGAAGCCACUUUCUUCAUCUGCUUGAAGAUGCUGCAUCCUGGGGAAAGUCCCCAGAGCACCGGAUGACUGGGAUUCAAUUGUAGCAAAAUAGCUGCCACCUAUGAAACUCCUAUGACAUGCCAGUCCCUACACAUAUGUGCUGGUUCACUGUGUCUUCCCAGCUGGUUGAAGCUCAUGUGAGUAUCUCCUCUAUGUGACCACAGAAACUGAGAAAGCCAAGAUACCAUCUCUGGGGUCCACAGGUUAAAAAAUCAUGUGUCUAGAGCCUCUCUGGUGUCUCAAGGUGUGAAGUCUCAGCACUAGGAAGCUAUCCGCAGCCACUACAUCAUGCGUUCAAUCCCUGGCUAGGGAGCUACCCACAGGGUGCAGCAGACCUCUCCUGACUUGCCUGCUGCUCCCCUCAGCAGUGUAUUUCAGUCAAUCCAUCCACCUGUUCUGCUCCCCACUCUGUCUCUGAUGAAUCCUCUCACCUACCUACCCCCUGCUACACCCCAGCUCUU